GACGAACCGAGCGAACGUUGUUCGGAAUCACUGGGCUUAAAGGGCGCGUAGGCGGGCUGUCAAGUCUGGGGUGAAAUCCCGCGGCUCAACCGUGGAACUGCCUUAGAUACUGACGGCCUCGAGGGAGAUAGGGGCGAGCGGAACUGUGAGUGGAGCGGUGAAAUGCGUUGAUAUUCACAGGAACUCCGGUGGCGAAGGCGGCUCGCUGGAUCUCCUCUGACGCUGAGGCGCGAAAGCUAGGGGAGCAAACGGG
rnacentral:rRNA from 1 species